rnacentral:misc_RNA from 1 species
CAUUACACAAAUAUGAAGGCGGGCUGGAACCUCUCGGGGUUACAGCCUUGCUGAAUUAUUCACCCUUGUCUUUUGCGUACUUCUUGUUUCCUUGGUGGGUUCGCCCACCACUAGGACAAACAUAAACCUUUUGUAAUUGCAAUCAGCGUCAGUAACAAAUUAAUAAUUACAACUUUCAACAACGGAUCUCUUGGUUCUGGCAUCGAUGAAGAACGCAGCGAAAUGCGAUAAGUAGUGUGAAUUGCAGAAUUCAGUGAAUCAUCGAAUCUUUGAACGCACAUUGCGCCCUUUGGUAUUCCAAAGGGCAUGCCUGUUCGAGCGUCAUUUGUACCCUCAAGCUUUGCUUGGUGUUGGGCGUCUUGUCUCUAGCUUUGCUGGAGACUCGCCUUAAAGUAAUUGGCAGCCGGCCUACUGGUUUCGGAGCGCAGCACAAGUCGCACUCUCUAUCAGCAAAGGUCUAGCAUCCAUUAAGCCUUUUUUUCAACUUUUGACCUCGGAUCAGGUAGGGAUACCCGCUGAACUUAAGCAUAUCAAUAAGCGGAGGAAAAAAAAAC